UAAAAACUCUUUCUCCGAGUCACAUAGGAGACCUAUAUUCCCCCUUUUCGCUUCUUAUGACUGAUCCUCAUUUGAGCAUCCUGUAAAAUCAGGGGCGGUUGAAGAGCCGGUGGGUCGUCAGAGGGGCGGCAGCACUGGCCGACUGUCCUCUGUGUUUUGUAAAUGGGCAGUAGGGAAGCACAGAGCUGUGCUGUGUUACUCAGGCAGCGGGGGUAAAAUACAGGACUUGUGCAAGCUUCCACGCGGCGUGGUUCACGGCACACGGAGAUGACUCACUAUUCUCUUGGUGACUAACAACUAAAAUAUGGCAGUUUAAAAGACGUUUCAGUGGUGCUCCAGUUCCAUAGAGCUGUGGAGAGAGGGAGAUGGGCAGGUACAGUUGUCAUUUCUUCCAACUCUCUCCAUAUCACUUUAUUUGGUUCUUUCUUUUAUUUCACUGGAAAGGUGAUGCUCUGAAAUAUUAAACAGCCGAGUGUCCCUCUAUGGUGUUGGGUUUCCCACAGCUGAUGAGAAUUCAGGUACUUUCUCCAAGAUGGAGAAUUAGGGGUUUAUGAAGACGAUGAGCCGGGAUGAGUCAAAGCAGUGUUUCUGAUAUGCUGGAACUGGAUCAAAAAGCAGUCAUUUCAUUCUUAGCACGUUUUCAUAAAUUAAACGCUGAAUUUGUACUCAGUUGAACUUAUGUUAGUAUAUAAGAAAUAUAAGCUUUUAAAAAAUAAACUCUUGGAGUGAAAAAGAAGUUAGUUUCCCUAAAAACUUCUUAUUUACAAAACUGUUUUAUCCAGUUGUCUCAGUUAUAAAUGUGAGUCUGCAUAAUAUCAGUUUUAUGAGACUUUCUAAAGGCUUGUUUUACGUUGUCACAAACGGCGUGCUUGUUUGACAUUGGUGGACCCGUUUAGAAAAGCGUUUAGACUGGUUGGUACGUGAGCGAAUUCUUCACUGAAAGACACUAACUAAUGUUCCUCAGUCACAUAAGUAGGGGAGUUUCCUGCUCCUGCUCCUAGGCGUUUUUCACGACUGCCGGCUUUUCUCUCUCGCCCUUCCUCCCUUUCGCUCUCCCCCUUCUUUUUUUUCUGAAUGGGUGUCCUCUCUCUAACCUCUCAAUUCACAGCAGCAUUGAAACAGGACACUACCCUGAACACUGAUAGGCUGCGGGAAAAUCGCUCAGCCCCUCAACCCAACACUAUAAGUACACUGGCAGUCCGUCUCCAGUGUAUGACUGACUGUUUAGAGAGUGAGAGAGAGAGAGAGAGAGAGAGAGAAGGAGGGGGCGGUAGAGAGUUUAAAUUCAGUGACAGUGAUAACAAUUAUAUUAUUCGUUCUCCGCUGAAACAGGGAAGCACUAUCAGACUAUGUGGCACACUUCCUCUGUCUCUAUCACUUUAAGAGUGUUACUGAUUAGUCGCUAAAGAAUGCGAGUGGAAAAAAAGAGAGAAAAAGGGACAGAGGCAGAAGGGAGAGACAGACUGAGAGCGUUCGAGCCUGGAACUCAUAUGGAGAAGACUGAUAAUACUGAGCUGAGUAGAGUUUUGUUUUAUUUUCCAGCAGUUCGGAGACGUUAAUGGAGCUCUCACUCUCUCUCUGUGCGUGUGUGUGUGUCUGCGGCUCCUGAAGACGAAGGGGGAAGUCGGGGACCCCAGCGCUCAGCCAUCAGGAAAUACUCUUUUCACCCAGACAGAUGUUAUUCAGACAGGCUGAAUAUAUUCAGAUCGCGUGAUGCUCCAUGUCUUCAUUUCAGUUUAGGCGCUGAAGACGGCUCAAGUGGACGAGCACUGCAGGCGGCUUGUUAGGGUGCUCAUGAGGUGCUCAGUAGUCAGUGUAGAUCCUGUGUUGCAAUCAGCAGCUACAUCUGGCUACUGGGUCUCUGAUGGCAUUUUCUGCUUCCUGUUGGCACAUUCCUUUCAGAUUGUGUGGUAUGUUAUCACAAUGUGUGCCUCAUCCUGUCAGAAUAGGACUCGCUUUUUCAUGGACGUUAAAGAGGGCUCAUCACAACAGACUGUCUCUUCGACCAGAGCAAUUUGGUGGUGCUUUUACACAUUUUUAGCUGUUUUUUUUUUUAUCCUCAAAAAAUUUGAUCAAGGUGAGUGAACUGUCAACGUGUAGCUAAAAGUCUCGGGAACCCAUUUCAGAUGUCUUUGAAAGAAAGGAUUGAGACAUUGUUUCUUGUUUGACUGCUGAAGUUUCAGUUUAAGUGAUUAGGUAACAAAGGACAAGGCGACAUGUCACAUUCUCUUUGUGAUUUGCCUGUCACAAGGGGCUGUCUUUGUGCAAAUGUUUUUGAGUUGUUGAAGGCUGACAAAUAAUGAGAGUUAAACGCGCAGACGUGCUGAAUCCCAUUGGUUUCGGGGAGCGAAGGAUGAAGUCUUUUGUGCUGUCGUGAACCUGGCAUACAAUGUAGAUUUCUGUGUGGUACAAUCUACAGCUACAUUGUCUGCUGGGUUUCAGGCCAGCAGAAAAAGCCUGCUCAGCUCAGAAAUUGAAAAGGUGAGUCGUUAAAUCGUCAUGCAUGCUUGAAAAAGACUUAUCCUACUAUGAGAAUAAUAUACAAUAA